AACGAACGCUGGCGGCAGGCUUAACACAUGCAAGUCGAGCGCCCCGCAAGGGGAGCGGCAGACGGGUGAGUAACGCGUGGGAAUCUACCCAUCUCUGCGGAACAACUCCGGGAAACUGGAGCUAAUACCGCAUACGCCCUUCGGGGGAAAGAUUUAUCGGAGAUGGAUGAGCCCGCGUUGGAUUAGCUAGUUGGUGGGGUAAAGGCCUACCAAGGCGACGAUCCAUAGCUGGUCUGAGAGGAUGAUCAGCCACAUUGGGACUGAGACACGGCCCAAACUCCUACGGGCGGCAGCAGUGGGGAAUAUUGGACAAUGGGCGAAAGCCUGAUCCAGCCAUGCCGCGUGAGUGAUGAAGGCCCUAGGGUUGUAAAGCUCUUUCACCGAUGAAGAUAAUGACGGUAGUCGGAGAAGAAGCCCCGGCUAACUUCGUGCCAGCCGCCGCGGUAAUAC
rnacentral:rRNA from 1 species